UGGGGAAUUUUGGACAAUGGGCGAAAGCCUGAUCCAGCAAUGCCGCGUGUGUGAAGAAGGCCUUCGGGUUGUAAAGCACUUUUGUCCGGAAAGAAAAUCCUUGGCUCUAAUACAGUCGGGGGAUGACGGUACCGGAAGAAUAAGCACCGGCUAACUACGUGCCAGCAGCCGCGGUAAUACGUAGGGUGCAAGCGUUAAUCGGAAUUACUGGGCGUAAAGCGUGCGCAGGCGGUUUGCUAAGACCGAUGUGAAAUCCCCGGGCUCAACCUGGGAACUGCAUUGGUGACUGGCAGGCUAGAGUAUGGCAGAGGGGGGUAGAAUUCCACGUGUAGCAGUGAAAUGCGUAGAGAUGUGGAGGAAUACCGAUGGCGAAGGCAGCCCCCUGGGCCAAUACUGACGCUCAUGCACGAAAAGCGUGGGGGAGCAAAAC
rnacentral:rRNA from 1 species